ACUGUGACUAACUUGGUCUGCAAGUGUUCCAUAAGAUGAGCAAGUAUGUUUAAGAAAUUAGACUCAAAAUUGUUUGAUUAAUAUUUAAUACCCUGUACUACUAAUUUUAGCACUAGUUCUUAACUUUUAAAUAACCUGUGGCAAUCAUCUUUUUGGCUACCACAGGCAUUUUCUACCCUUCUUUUCCUGAAGAAAGCUCUGUUCCUGCAAAAAGCUCAUUUCUGUUGUCUUCUCUGAUAGGCUCCCUUGUCUUUUGUCGUCUGGUUAAGGUUAGUCAAGGUGAGACACCAGUUGGAGACUGGAAGACAAAGAGUGAGCACAGCAUGUAUGGUCCAAGUCAUGUGUCGGCAUUUCUCUACUGGAGACUUCAGAAACAGAAACGCCAAACAUGAUUAAAUUUCUUACUAGCCCAGCAGCUGUUUAAAUAUUGUGUUAGAAAAACAAACUGUCUUUAAAACUCUGAUGUGGAAUAUAGUUAUUUACCAAGAAUCUACUAUCAAUUGUGUAAAAACAAAAGCAUCACAACCAAAAUUAUGUGAAGGUAUAUAAAAUCUCUUUUUAAACAUUUCUCAAAAAAUCUCA
rnacentral:lncRNA from 1 species